AAAUAAAAAAAACAUUUGAAGAGUCAUUUCAAGAAGGCAGUUCUCCAUGAAGUAACAUGACAAAACGAAUAUCUUCAGGCACAUGGAUACUAAUUAAAAACAAGUAUGCUCUGCACCUUGUCUUGGAUGCGCCAUU